AACGAACGCUGGCGGCAUGCCUAACACAUGCAAGUCGAACGAGACCUUCGGGUCUAGUGGCGCACGGGUGCGUAACGCGUGGGAACCUGCCCUUAGGUUCGGAAUAACUCCCCGAAAGGGGUGCUAAUACCGGAUAAUGUCUUCGGACCAAAGAUUUAUCGCCUUUGGAUGGGCCCGCGUUGGAUUAGCUAGUUGGUAGGGUAAAAGCCUACCAAGGCGACGAUCCAUAGCUGGUCUGAGAGGAUGAUCAGCCACACUGGGACUGAGACACGGCCCAGACUCCUACGGGAGGCAGCAGUGGGGAAUAUGGGACAAUGGGCGAAAGCCUGAUCAGCAAUGCCGCGUGAGUGAUGAAGGCCUUAGGGUUGUAAAGCUCUUUUACCCGGGAUGAUAAUGACAGUACCGGGAGAAUAAGCUCCGGCUAACUCCGUG
rnacentral:rRNA from 1 species